UGUGUGUGUGUAUAUAUAUAUAUAUAUAUAUAUAUAUAUAUAUAUAUAAAGUAAUCAGAGAGAGAGAACGAAAGAUAUUUAUGCAAAGAAAUGUGUAUUCACUAUGAAAUCAUACAACAAAAUACAAAAAAAAAAGCGAAACAAAAAAAAAAGGUGCUUAUUAAUUAUAUAUAUAUAUAUGAAAUUUUUUAUUUUGCGGUUUGGUGGUGCAGUGGUUGAUUGGCAGACAAAGUUUAUGACCCAAGUUGUAUUCUAAUGUGAACAACACAGUUUCUUGUCCCUUCUGCAUCUCAUGCCUCACAGAAUGAAAUUAUCAUCAUCCUCAUCGUCAUCGUCGUCGUCGUCGUGAUUAUUAAUGAAAUGUAAUGAGCAUCACAUCUUCCCAUUAUUUCACUCCUAUAAAUCUGGGGCCUUGACUCUACACAAGACUGUGGUGUGUGUGUGUGUGUGUGUGUGUGAGUGCCAAAUCUACAAACCAGUUUCUUUUGCCAGCUGGAGCUACUUUAUGUUUUUGUCAGUGAUCCCCUUUUUCUGGUUUCUAUUCCUCCCCCCUCCCUCCAAAAAGAAAAAACUCAGGUUUCAAGCCCAUAUUGGAAAAAAAA